AUCCUGGCUCAGAGCGAACGUUAGCGGCGGGCCUAACACAUGCAAGUCGAAGCGAGAAAAGGGCUUCGGCCCUUAGUAAAGCGGCGGACGGGUGAGUAACACGUAGGUAAUCUUCCCUUGAGCCGGGGGACAACGAGCCGAAAGGCUCGCUAAUACCGCAUACGUUUCCAGAGGCCCCGGUCUUUUGGAAGGAAAGCUAGGCCGCAAGGUCCGGCACUCGAGGAGGAGCCUGCGUCGCAUCAGCUAGUUGGUGGGGUAACGGCCUACCAAGGCGAAGACGCGUAGCUGGUCUGAGAGGAUGAUCAGCCACACUGGGACUGAGACACGGCCCAGACUCCUACGGGAGGCAGCAGUGGGGAAUAUUGGACAAUGGGCGCAAGCCUGAUCCAGCCACGCCGCGUGAGUGAUGAAGGCCUUCGGGUCGUAAAGCUCUGUGGGGAGGGACGAACCGCUGCACGUUCAUAGCGUGCAGCAUGACGGUACCUCCUUAGCAAGCACCGGCUAACUUCGUGCCAGCAGCCGCGGUAA
rnacentral:rRNA from 1 species